rnacentral:rRNA from 1 species
AAUACCUAGGAAUCUGCCUGGUAGUGGGGGACAACGUUUCGAAAGGAACGCUAAUACCGCAUACGUCCUACGGGAGAAAGCAGGGGACCUUCGGGCCUUGCGCUAUCAGAUGAGCCUAGGUCGGAUUAGCUAGUUGGUGAGGUAAUGGCUCACCAAGGCGACGAUCCGUAACUGGUCUGAGAGGAUGAUCAGUCACACUGGAACUGAGACACGGUCCAGACUCCUACGGGAGGCAGCAGUGGGGAAUAUUGGACAAUGGGCGAAAGCCUGAUCCAGCCAUGCCGCGUGUGUGAAGAAGGUCUUCGGAUUGUAAAGCACUUUAAGUUGGGAGGAAGGGUACUUACCUAAUACGUGAGUAUUUUGACGUUACCGACAGAAUAAGCACCGGCUAACUCUGUGCCAGCAGCCGCGGUAAUACAGAGGGUGCAAGCGUUAAUCGGAAUUACUGGGCGUAAAGCGCGCGUAGGUGGUUCGUUAAGUUGGAUGUGAAAUCCCCGGGCUCAACCUGGGAACUGCAUCCAAAACUGGCGAGCUAGAGUAGGGCAGAGGGUGGUGGAAUUUCCUGUGUAGCGGUGAAAUGCGUAGAUAUAGGAAGG